rnacentral:rRNA from 1 species
AUUGAACGCUGGCGGCAUGCCUUACACAUGCAAGUCGAACGGCAGCACGGGUGCUUGCACCUGGUGGCGAGUGGCGAACGGGUGAGUAAUACAUCGGAACAUGUCCUGUAGUGGGGGAUAGCCCGGCGAAAGCCGGAUUAAUACCGCAUACGAUCCACGGAUGAAAGCGGGGGACCUUCGGGCCUCGCGCUAUAGGGUUGGCCGAUGGCUGAUUAGCUAGUUGGGGGGGUAAAGGCCUACCAAGGCGACGAUCAGUAGCUGGUCUGAGAGGACGACCAGCCACACUGGGACUGAGACACGGCCCAGACUCCUACGGGAGGCAGCAGUGGGGAAUUUUGGACAAUGGGCGAAAGCCUGAUCCAGCAAUGCCGCGUGUGUGAAGAAGGCCUUCGGGUUGUAAAGCACUUUUGUCCGGAAAGAAAUCCUUGACUCUAAUACAGUCGGGGGAUGACGGUACCGGAAGAAUAAGCACCGGCUAACUACGUG